UGACCUCGGAUCAGGUAGGAAUACCCGCUGAACUUAAGCAUAUCAAUAAAGAAGAAGA
rnacentral:rRNA from 1 species